rfam:Ophiophagus hannah scaffold1662.1, whole genome shotgun sequence.
AUCGCUCAAUGACGGGAGCUGCUGAAAUGUUGCCCGACACCUGGCAGUUCCCUGAAAACUCUGCGCU